rnacentral:rRNA from 1 species
GAUCAUGGCUCAGGAUGAACGCUAGCUACAGGCUUAACACAUGCAAGUCGAGGGGCAGCAUGGUCUUAGCUUGCUAAGGCCGAUGGCGACCGGCGCACGGGUGAGUAACACAUAUCCAACCUGCCGUCUACUCUUGGACAGUCUUCUGAAAGGAAGAUUAAUACAAGAUGGCAUCAUGAGUCCGCAUGUUCACAUGAUUAAAGGUAUUCCGGUAGACGAG